rnacentral:rRNA from 1 species
AAACUAUAACUGUUUUAAUGAGCCAUUCGCAGUUUAGCCGUAUAAAAGCUUAUACUUAGACAUGCAUGGCUUAAUCUUUAAGACAAGCAUAUGA